CGCGACAGUUCAACUCCUCAAACCGGUGCCAAAAGCCCCAUUAUGAGCGGGUUUGGUUGCCGUUUUGAGGUGUUGACGAGC
rnacentral:pre_miRNA from 1 species